GACGAACGCUGGCGGCGUGCUUAACACAUGCAAGUCGAACGGAGUGUCGACCGGGUGAGUAACACGUGGGUGACCUGCCCUGCACUUCGGGGUAAGCCUGGGAAACUGGGUCUACUACCGGAGCGUGUGGGAUGGGCCCGCGGCCUAUCAGCUUGUUGGGGGGGUACUGGCCUACCAAGGCGGCGACGGGUAGCCGGCCUGGGAGGGGGGACGGGCACAUUGGGACUGAGAUACGUCCCAGACUGCUACGGGAGGCAGAAGUGGGGAAUAUGGCACAAUGGGGGGAAGCCUGAUGCAGCGACGCCGCGUGGGGGAUGACGGCUUUCGGGUUGUAAACUCCUUUCACCAUCGACGCGGUAGAUGGAGAAGAAGCACCGGCUAACUACGUGCCAGCAGCCGCGGUAAUAC
rnacentral:rRNA from 1 species